rnacentral:rRNA from 1 species
AAAGGCGCUUUCGGGUGUCGCUGAUGGAUGGACCCGCGGUGCAUUAGCUAGUUGGUGAGGUAACGGCUCACCAAGGCCACGAUGCAUAGCCGACCUGAGAGGGUGAUCGGCCACAUUGGGACUGAGACACGGCCCAAACUCCUACGGGAGGCAGCAGUAGGGAAUCUUCGGCAAUGGACGAAAGUCUGACCGAGCAACGCCGCGUGAGUGAAGAAGGUUUUCGGAUCGUAAAACUCUGUUGUUAGAGAAGAACAAGGAUGAGAGUAACUGUUCAUCCCUUGACGGUAUCUAACCAGAAAGCCACGGCUAACUACGUGCCAGCAGCCGCGGUAAUACGUAGGUGGCAAGCGUUGUCCGGAUUUAUUGGGCGUAAAGCGAGCGCAGGCGGUUUCUUAAGUCUGAUGUGAAAGCCCCCGGCUCAACCGGGGAGGGUCAUUGGAAACUGGGAGACUUGAGUGCAGAAGAGGAGAGUGGAAUUCCAUGUGUAGCGGUGAA